GCCCCUAGUAACAGCCUGUACAGUACAUGAGCCACGCGGGGAGACAGCAGCUGCUAUUAAAGCUCCGAGGACCAAAAGGCCAACGUUCACAUUUAUCCACCAAGACCAGCAGGCGGGUUGAGGAACUGAAGCCCUACCUAUCACAAUGCAUUGCCUGAAAAGUCUGCGGACGACCAACGCGGGAAUCUUGCAGCUGUUUAAAAAUGCAGUUAUCUCCGCCAGACUUGGAGCUGACAUCUCCAGGAGUCAGCAACCUGUUCCUCUCAGGGCAGCAACAAUUCACUCCCACAGAGCCUUUCAUCCUCAUCAAAAAGGCCCUGAUGAGGACCAAGGACGCAGCAAAAGCCGGCUCAUGUCCAGCAUAGAGGACCUGCUUUUUUACACCAUCACCGACGGGAAAGAGAUGAUCCCCAUCUCUCAGUUCAUCUCUGCUUUGAGAAGAACGGGUUUGUUAACGUCUGACCCUCGGCUGCGGGACUGUGUCCGUCAGAUGAGACAGUCUACGCUUGACUCCAUGGGACCGGUCAUGAUGGACAAAAAACUUUUCAGAAGGUGUAUCGGCAACAACAUUAUGUUGCUGACGAAGGCUUUCAGAAAAAACUUCAUCAUCCCUGACUUUGAGGAUUUCACCCUCCAGAUCAACAGGAUGUUUGAGAAUGCACAGCAGCAAGUAGGAGGGCAAGUAGCCGAUUACAUUCCUCAGUUGGCUAAGUUCAGCCCGGAUCUUUGGGGCGUAUCUAUUUGCACCAUCGAUGGACAGAGAUACUCAGUGGGCGACACCAAGGUUCCCUUCUGCCUGCAGUCAUGUGUGAAGCCACUCGAGUACGCCAUCGCUGUGCAUGAGCUUGGCACCGAACACGUUCACCGCUUUGUGGGCAAGGAGCCCAGUGGCUUCAAGUUCAACAAACUGUCGCUAAAUGAGGAAGAUAAACCACACAACCCCAUGGUGAACGCUGGAGCUAUCGUCAUUAGUUCUUUGAUCAAGACGCAUUCAAAUAAAGCGGAGAGGUUUGACUAUGUGAUGCAGUUCUUGAAAAGUAUGGCUGGUACAGAGUAUGUGGGAUUCAGCAAUGCUACUUUCCAGUCAGAGAGAGAGACUGGAGAUAGAAACUAUGCAAUUGGUUAUUACCUGAAAGAAAAAAAGUGCUUCCCUGACCGUGCAGAUAUGGUCGGAGCUCUUGACUUCUACUUCCAGUUGUGCUCCAUUGAGGUGACCUGCGAGUCUGGAAGUGUCAUGGCCGCAACACUGGCCAAUGGAGGCAUUUGUCCAACCACAGGCGAUCGUGUGCUAAGUGCUGAAUCCGUUCGCAACACGUUGAGUCUGAUGCAUUCCUGCGGGAUGUACGACUUUUCCGGGCAAUUUGCUUUCCAUGUGGGGCUGCCUGCCAAAUCUGGCAUUUCAGGCGCCGUUCUGCUGGUGGUUCCCAACGUUAUGGGCAUGCUGUGUUGGUCCCCGCCGCUGGAUCGGCUCGGAAACAGCGUCAGAGGAAUUCACUUUUGUCAAGAGCUUGUUUCUUACUUCAACUUCCAUAAUUAUGACAACCUGAGGCACUUCACCAAGAAACACGACCCGAGGAGACGGACGGACGACGAUCCGAACAAGUCGGUCGUUAAUCUGAUGUUUGCAGCGUACAGCGGUGACGUCUGUGCUCUGAGGAGGUUCGCGCUGUCAGCGGUUGACAUGGAGCAGAGGGAUUAUGACUCUCGCACUGCUCUCCACGUCGCUGCUGCCGGAGGCCACGUGGACGCUGUAACGUUCCUGACACAAAUAUGUAAAGUGAAUCCGUACAUUAAGGACAGAUGGGGCAACACACCCCUUGAUGACGCCAUGCAGUUUGGCCAUGAUGUUGUUAUUUCAGUCCUGCAAAAGUACCAACAUGAGUACAAAGACUCGUCCAGCAGCACAGAGGAAAAGAACCCCGCGAUGGACACGAUGAAGAACUCCGUUUAACAAAUAUCCAUGAAAGUUCGGAUUGAAACCUUCUGUUUCACAGCGGGAUAGAAUCACAGGACAGAAGGCCUUCUGAAAAGACUGACAUUUUUACAUUUUCCAACCAAAGGCUAUAAAAUGUGUACCUUUUAUUAAUGGUGUGGAAUGUUUGACGUCAAUUUUGAAAAAAGGGAUGCACCAUUUUCUUUUAAUUUGGUUUAACUGGGCCGGAAUUUGGAAUAUGUACAGGAUGAAGGCUUACUAAAAGAACAUACUACAGAACUACAUCAAUAAUAAAUUACUGCUAACCUACCUUAGUUUGGUUGGGUAGUAAUAUUCUUGUUUUGUGCAAAAAUUUGAUUGAGAAAUGUUACUGAGAUGUAAAUAUUUAAAAAUUGUGCUAUUUAUGUUUUUCUUUGGCCCCCUUCACACUGGAAUGAGAUCACUGUGCGAUUUUAACCAGAGUGGUGAAACUCAGCAGGGUACUGGAAAAUGGUUCUGGAGCCGAAGCUUCCCAUUACCGUUUCCAUUUCGCACAAAGCCUACGUAGAACAGUAAUGGUGA